rnacentral:sRNA from 1 species
GAAUCGGGUAUUAACAACUUGAGUUCAUAGAGAAGAUCAAGUUCAUGAAAUCUUUUCACAUUUUAUAAGUUAUAGACUAGUAUAUGUCAAGAGAUAUUUUUUUCACAUCUUCCGAUCGAAGAGUCUCGAUGCAUAACUAAUCUCUAUUACGCAGGAUAACACGACUUAGUAGAAUCGAAUUCCGGUGAAAAUGGUGAACUCAAAUGGAUUUAACCACUUGACCAAAUGCAUAUUUCCUUAUGUAACCAAAUGAUUUUAUUUUUCUUACGCAAAAUAGCAUUUCCUUCAUUGUAUAAAAGAGAACCAUUUUGACAUUUCACUCAUGUUAAUAUAUUAUUUAACUGUAUACAUAUUCUACAUAUGAGUAAUUAAAUUAAUUUUUUUAUAAACUAUGAUUAAGAGAUAGAUUAAGUUGGGCUAU